CACUGACUCACUCAACCCCUGUGACAUACCAAUUGUUGCCUCGGCGGAUCAGCCCGCUCCCGGUAAAACGGGACGGCCCGCCAGAGGACCCCUAAACUCUGUUUCUAUAUGUAACUUCUGAGUAAAACCAUAAAUAAAUCAAAACUUUCAACAACGGAUCUCUUGGUUCUGGCAUCGAUGAAAAACCGCAGCAAAAUGCGAUAAGUAAUGUGAAUUGCAGAAUUCAGUGAAUCAUCGAAUCUUUGAACGCACAUUGCGCCCGCCAGUAUUCUGGCGGGCAUGCCUGUUCGAGCGUCAUUUCAACCCUCAAGCCCAGCUUGGUGUUGGGACUCGCGAGUCAAAUCGCGUUCCCCAAAUUGAUUGGCGGUCACGUCGAGCUUCCAUAGCGUAGUAGUAAAACCCUCGUUACUGGUAAUCGUCGCGGCCACGCCGUUAAACCCCAACUUCUGAAUGUUGACCUCGGAUCAGGUAGGAAUACCCGCUGAACUUAAGCAUAUCAAAAGGGGGGGAAGGGAAA
rnacentral:rRNA from 1 species